rnacentral:snoRNA from 1 species
AUCCUUUUUUGGUUCAUAAGCAUGAUGAUUGGGAAUUCACACCAAUGUGUGAUGUGUGCUGUGCCGCCCACUAAACCUUGUUACAACAUUGGCACAUUACCCAUCUGAUG